rnacentral:rRNA from 1 species
GUGAGGAAUUUUCCGCAAUGGGCGAAAGCCUGACGGAGCAAUGCCGCGUGAAGGAUGAAGGUCUUAGGAUUGUAAAAUUCUUUCACCGGGGACGAUAAUGACGGUACCCGGAGAAGAAGCCCCGGCUAACUUCGUGCCAGCAGCCGCGGUAAUACGAAGGGGGCUAGCGUUGCUCGGAAUUACUGGGCGUAAAGGGCGCGUAGGCGGAUCGUUAAGUCAGGGGUGAAAUCCCAGAGCUCAACUCUGGAACUGCCCUUGAUACUGGCGAUCUUGAGUGUGAGAGAGGUAUGUGGAACUCCGAGUGUAGAGGUGAAAUUCGUAGAUAUUCGGAAGAACACCAGUGGCGAAGGCGACAUACUGGCUCAUUACUGACGCUGAGGCGCGAAAGCGUGGGGAGCAAACAGGAUUAGAAACCCCUGUAGUCC